GGGCAAGGGACUUAGGCGGAGCAGGAGCCGGCCCAGAGAUGGAGAGGGUCCUUCCCUCGGCCGAAUAAAGGGCUCAGGAAAUCAUCCACGACAGUGACCCGGGGGCCCAGCUGCUCACUCAGCACAUCCAGGAAGCGGUCAGUAUCCCGGCUUCGCACAGGACGGGAGAAGCUGCUGUUCAGUCGGGACUCGAGCUCCGCAUAGACGGCUGACAUCUUCAGGGACAGGAGGCCAGGGUGAGUCCAGCCAACCGUCACCUCCCCCAUGAGGCCAGGUCUGGGUGAUGUGGGAGGCAGGGAUCUGCCCCAGCCCCAUGAUCCCCCUAUUCCCAGGAGCCACAUGAACCACCAGGA